rnacentral:rRNA from 1 species
CCUGUCUCAGUUCGGAUUGGAGGCUGAAACCCGCCUCCAUGAAGUUGGAUUCGCUAGUAAUCGCGCAUCAGCCAUGGCGCGGUGAAUACGUUCCCGGGCCUUGUACACACCGCCCGUCAAGCCAUGGAAGCCGGGGGUGCCUGAAGUGCGCUGCCGCAAGGAGCGCCCUAGGGUAAAACCGGUGACUGGGGCUAAGUCGUAACAAGGUAGC